UAGUAAGCAUCAUUAUUUAGUGAUGCUAAUAUGCAUUGGCACCUGAUGACGCUUUUAAAAAUGAUGGCAGCUUAGUUUUCUAUAUUCACAUAGCCAAUGCUUUGGUGAUGCUAUGGAUAGCAUCUUGGAGUUAUUCUAUGAUGCUAACAAGCAUCGAUAAAAUCCAAAAAAAGUAUUGAAAAUGCUAAUGUUUCCUGCAGUGAGAUCUUUCCCUUCUCACAAGGAUAGGUGAUGCAAAAGAUGGAUGGAUUUCUAGAUUGUUGUAGGAGAGGGAGAAAAACAAUCCAAUAAUGUAGGUUAAUGAUGGUAUUGGUAUGACUACUAUUUAAUCUAGUGGGAGGAUUUAAAAUUAUUUAGUCUAUUAGGAAGGACAUACGGGACAAAUAAUAUGAGAUACCAUAACUAAGCUAAUACAUAUCAAGGAUUUGGCAUCCAAAUGGAUAAGGUUGAUUAUGAGAGAAAUUUCUUUAGGUUAUCAUUUAGUGAAGCUAGGAUUGAAUGUGAGGAAGAGAGCAUGUAUUGAUUUCGAGAGUGUAAAAACAUCA
rnacentral:lncRNA from 1 species